UUCGGACUUCGCGACAUGAAGUCAGAACGAGAAAUGCGCAAGGGCAUGCAUCGGUGUGAAAACAACGUUAGGCGAUGUCUUUCUUUCUUUUUCUAUCAGUUUGAACUGGUUUUACGCAAAUUCGAAAUAUUUUCGGAGUUACAGAAGAAAUAGUGAGCAAGCGUCGAGCAGGUAUACGAGCGGUGUUUUGAAGUUUUCAACCAGUUUUUUGAAGAGUCUGAACCAGUUUUUUGAAGUUUUGAACCAGUUUCUUGAAGAGUCUGAAGGGCAACUCUAUGGACCAGGAAUCGCUGAUUAGCAUAUUAAUGCGAUGGAUAUUGCGACCUUUCCCGCCGCACGACAAAUGCACACUCGAGACGCCUCGGUGAAAUGCUUGUACCAGGCAUAAUAUGACAUGUAUCUUAAUGAAAAAAUUUAAGAAGACUGCUGAAAUAUAUAACAAUAAAACCUGAAAGUUUCGUUUCAA
rnacentral:lncRNA from 1 species